rnacentral:rRNA from 1 species
AGCGAACGCUGGCGGCAGGCCUAACACAUGCAAGUCGAACGAACCUUUCGGGGUUAGUGGCGGACGGGUGAGUAACACGUGGGAACGUGCCUUUAGGUUCGGAAUAACUCAGGGAAACUUGUGCUAAUACCGAAUGUGCCCUUCGGGGGAAAGAUUUAUCGCCUCUAGAGCGGCCCGCGUCUGAUUAGCUAGUUGGUUGAGGUAAUGGCUCACCAAGGCGACGAUCAGUAGCUGGGCUGAGAGGAUGAUCAGCCACAUUGGGACUGAGACACGGCCCAAAAUCCUACGGUAGGCAGCAGUGGGGGAUCUUGCGCAAUGGGGGAAAGCCUGACGGAGCCAGGCCGCGUGAAUGAUGAAGGUCUUAGGAUUGUAAAAUUCUUUAACCGGGGACGAUAAUGACGGUACCCGGAGAAGAAGCCCCGGCUAACUUCGUG